GCCAGCCCGCUCAGAACUCAAAGGAAUUGACGGGGCCGCACAAGCGGUGGAGUAUGUGGUUAAUUCGAUGCAACGCGAAGAACCUUACCUGGUCUUGACAUCCCGGAGACCCUUAGGAAACUAGGGGGUGCUUCCAUCUGGAAGAAUCUGGAGACAGGUGCUGCAUGGCUGUCGUCAGCUCGUGUCGUGAGAUGUUCGGGUUAAGUCCCGCAACGAGCGCAACCCUUGCCUUUAGUUGCCAGCAGUUCGGCUGGGCACUCUAAAGGGACUGCCGGUGUUAAACCGGAGGAAGGUGGGGAUGACGUCAAGUCCUCAUGGCCUUUAUGACCAGGGCUACACACGUACUACAAUGGCCGAUACAAAGGGCAGCGACACUGCGAGGUGAAGCCAAUCCCGUAAAAUCGGUCUCAGUCCGGAUUGGAGUCUGCAACUCGACUCCAUGAAGUUGGAAUCGCUAGUAAUCGUGGAUCAGCAUGCCACGGUGAAUACGUUCCCGGGCCUU
rnacentral:rRNA from 1 species